UUGGUCCACUGUAGGAGUAGGAUGUGCAUCAAAAUAGGAUCUAUCGAUCCUAACAGAAGGGAGUAGUCUUAUGAGAUUUAAGAGACUGAGUCCUUAAGUCUAUGGCCAUGACAGUGUAAUUGAUGGAAAAGAAUUUUCAUAGAAUCAUAUAUGGACUUAAGCUGAUUGAAUCUGUUAUAUGACCGAUGUUGAGGUUUGACGAUUUAUCCAUGACCUGCCAUAU
rnacentral:lncRNA from 1 species